AAUCAACGCUGGCGGCGUGCCUCAGACAUGCAAGUCGAACGAGAAAGUUUCCUUCGGGGAAUGAGUAAAGUGGCGCACGGGUGAGUAACACGUAGGUAAUCUACCUUCGGGUGGGGAAUAACCCAGGGAAACUUGGGCUAACACCGCAUAAUGCAGCGGCACCACAUGGUGACAGUUGUUAAAGCGGGGGAUUUUAGGACCUCGCGCCUGAAGAGGAGCCUGCGGCGGAUUAGCUAGUUGGAAGGUAACGGCUUACCAAGGCGACGAUCCGUAACCGGCCUGAGAGGGCGGUCGGUCACACUGACACUGACAUACGGGUCAGACUCCUACGGGAGGCAGCAGUCGGGAAUUUUGGGCAAUGGGCGAAAGCCUGACCCAGCAACGCCGCGUGAAGGAUGAAAUCCCUCGGGAUGUAAACUUCGCAAGAUUGGGAAGAAUUAGUAGGGGUUAAUACCCUCUAUGACGACGUACUUUGUAA
rnacentral:rRNA from 1 species